rnacentral:rRNA from 2 species
AUACCGGGGCUAAGCAUAAUACCGAAACUGUGGGUGCACCCGUCAGGGUGCGCGGUAGGAGAGCGUUCUAAGGGCGUUGAAGGUCGAUCGUGAGGACGGCUGGAGCGCUUAGAAGUGAGAAUGCCGGCAUGAGUAGCGAAAGAUCAGUGAGAAUCUGAUCCACCGUAUGACUAAGGUUUCCUGGGGAAGGCUCGUCCUCCCAGGGUUAGUCGGGAUCUAAGGCGAGGCCGCAAGGCGUAGUCGAUGACAAGCAGGUUGAGAUUCCUGCACUAGUUUAUUUUGUUUAAGCGAUGGAGGGACGCAGGAGGCUAAGGAAAGCGCACGGCUGGAAAAGUGCGUCCAAGCAGUAAGUCYGGUAGCGAGUGAAAUGCUUGCCGCCUUAAGGACAAGCUGUGAUGGGGAGCGAAAUUAAAGUAGCGAAGUUCCUGAUGUCACACUGCCAAGAAAAGCUUCUAGUGAGAAAUAAACUACCCGUACCGCAAACCGACACAGGUAGUCGAGGAGAGUAUCCUCAGGUGAGCGAGCGAACUCUCGUUAAGGAACUCGGCAAAAUGACCCCGUAACUUCGGAAGAAGGGGUGCUGACCGCAAGGUCAGCCGCAGUGAAUAGGCCCAAACAACUGUUUAUCAAAAACACAGGUCUCUGCUAAAUCGUAAGAUGAUGUAUAGGGGCUGACGCCUGCCCGGUGCUGGAAGGUUAAGAGGAUGAGUUAGCGCAAGCGAAGCCCAGAAUUGAAGCCCCAGUAAACGGCGGCCGUAACUAUAACGGUCCUAAGGUAGCGAAAUUCCUUGUCGGGUAAGUUCCGACCCGCACGAAAGGCGUAAUGAUUUGGGCACUGUCUCAACGAGAGACUCGGUGAAAUUAUAGUACCCGUGAAGAUGCGGGUUACCCGCGACAGGACGGAAAGACCCCAUGGAGCUUUACUGUAGCUUGAUAUUGAGUGUUGGUACCGCUUGUACAGGAUAGGUAGGAGCCGUAGAGAUCGGAACGCUAGUUUCGAUGGAGGCAUUGGUGGGAUACUACCCUAGCUGUAUGAACACUCUAACCCGCGCCACUAAUCGUGG